rnacentral:rRNA from 1 species
UACAGAGGUCUCAAGCGUUGUUCGGAUUCAUUGGGCGUAAAGGGUGCGUAGGUGGCGCCGUAAGUCAGGUGUGAAAUUCGGAGCUUAACUCCGAAACUGCAUUUGAUACUGCGGUGCUUGAGGACUGGAGAGGAGACUGGAAUUCACGGUGUAGCAGUGAAAUGCGUAGAUAUCGUGAGGAAGACCAGUGGCGAAGGCGGGUCUCUGGACAGUUCCUGACACUGAGGCACGAAGGCCCAGGGGAGCAAAACGGG